GUCUCAACGCGCUCCGGGAGAGCCAGGCUCAUAACCUGGAGGUCGGUGGUUCAAAUCCGCC
rnacentral:tRNA from 1 species